AGAACGAACGCUGGCGGCGUGGAUAAGACAUGCAAGUCGAACGCGAUUUAUCAGGUUAGCAAUAACUUGGUAAAUUGAGUGGCGAAAGGGUGCGUAACACGUGGGAAUUUACCAAGAAGUGGGGAAUAGCUCGACGAAAGUCGAAUUAAUACCGCAUGUGAUCGAAAGAUCAAAGUCGGGGACCGCAAGGCCUGACGCUUUUUGAGAAGCCCGCGGCCCAUCAGCUAGUUGGUGAGGUAAUGGCUCACCAAGGCUAUGACGGGUAGCUGGUCUGAGAGGACGACCAGCCACACUGGAACUGAGACACGGUCCAGACACCUACGGGUGGCAGCAGUCGAGAAUUUUUUCACAAUGGACGAAAGUCUGAUGGAGCGACGCCGCGUGGAGGAUGAAGGUUCUUGGAUUGUAAACUCCUGUCACUGCAGAACAAGGAUACGUCAGUUAACAGCCGACGUAUUGAUGGUAUGCGGAGAGGAAGGGACGGCUAACUCUGU
rnacentral:rRNA from 1 species